UAGUUUUCCAGCUCGCAUACUCGUACAUUCAAUGUACUAAUGACAGUUGGCCUGCAUCUUAUGAUGAUGCAGACGCAGGUUCCCAGGAUCAGCAUCCAGCACAUCGUUGAUCCAGCUGAGCACUCCUGAGUCAGUGGUGAACCUCUUUGCAUUCCGGAGGACUCGAUUAUUUUGUUCUCUUAGUUUUGUUUUAUUAGGAUGUUGCGGGGUCUGUCCCAAAAAUCCAUCUCAGUGUUAUAGAGGUUUCAUAAACAGUCAGUCAGUUAGUAUUGAGUCUCUCAUCUAUGUAUAAAUAUAAAUAUUCUAUUUUGAGACUCGAGUUGCCUUUUUGGCCAAGAUUUUAUCAGUUGGGUUGUUUUAUGA
rnacentral:lncRNA from 1 species